rnacentral:lncRNA from 1 species
GUAUUAAUUCCAGCAUUAUUUCUCAUCAUAAAAACUAGUGAACAGGAAAAAGAACAAGUGAAUUGUGGAUUUUUCAUGCAAUGGAUUGCUAUAUCACAAUUAAAAUGAACAUGGACGACUCUCAAAAACAUUUUGUUGAAUGACGCAUGCAAAUGACAACUGAACAUAUGCAGUAAGAUAUCAUUUUUCUAACGUGAAAAACAUGCCAAAGUAUACUACAUAUUGUUGAUAGAUAUAUGGACAGACAAUAAUACUACAGAAACAGGCAUGGAAGUAAGUAUCUAAGUCAAGAGAAAGAAGAUGAAUGAGAUCCAAGAGAAGCAUACAAGCCCUUUAAUGCUACCUGCAACUCCUUAAAGAAAGUAUAAAUCGGAGUUCCUGUCGAGAUGCAGCAGAAACGAACUUGACUAGGAACCAUGAGGUUGCAGAUUCGAUCCUUGGCCUCGUUUAGUGGAUUAAGGAUCUGGAGCUUCUGUGAGCUGUGGUAUAGUCUAAGACGUGGCUUGGAUCUGGCGUUGCUGUGGCUGUGGUAUAGGCCUGAGGCUAUAGCUCCCAUUCAACCCCUAGCCUGAGAACCUCCAUAUGCCACAGGUGUGGCCCUAAAACAAAAAGACAAAAAAAAAUGUGUAAAUCACAAAAUGGCAACAUGUUAAAAUUUGAUAGGAUUCAAUACUAGGUACAAGAUUGUUAAUUACAUGAUACUAUAAAUUUUUCUUUAUGUCUGUAUAGUGAAUAUAUUAAAAGAAUAUACUUGUGGGGCACAAAAAAAAUUGUGUUGGAAUGGAUCCUAGAAACAUUCAAGACCGGAAGCCCAAGAUCAUGCAGACAGAGGCCUCGGAGCAGGUAAGCAGAGAUCCUGAAACUUAAAUCCAGUUUCUCUAAUGCACCCAUCUGUUUUCUGUUCAUUGUGCCUUCCAGUAUAUUAUGCUUUGCUUUCAUUUCUGAUUCAUUUUAGUUAAAUACAUUUUUAAAAUUUUUAAUUCAAAAGAAAAAUAUUCUAGUUCAGUAGUUCCUCCCAUUCUGGGUAACAGCCUUUGAAACCUUAAGGAUUGUAAAUUUCAAGACUACAAGAAGAAGUAAAGGUGAGAGAACAAAGCUACAGGGACAUCUGAAAGUCUUUACAUGUCUGAAAUGGAAGGAAUCAUUUCACAUAAAUUGCCAACACAUAAAACUUCCAUGGGAGCCAAACACAUUUGCGGACUUGUGGAUAAAGGGCUGGGGUGCACUUAUUCUUAAUGGAGAUGACAACCAUCUGCCUCCCCCCUCAGAUGUCAGGCUGAAUUUCUGCCAGAGUCAUGAGAAGUAUCCCAGUCCCAGAAGCAGUGACCAAGGAAGAUAUGCUGUUCACCUCCAUCCCCAAAAUGAUACUGACUAGAAAAUCCAAAACACAUGCUCACCUAUCCUUAGAUUCCUUCUGAGGUGUUACCUCUCCCUGAGGUGUUCCUCAACUAAGCGGUGGCACAAUCCUUUCCUUAAACCAUAGGACAUGAAUCAGCUCCAAAGGAAAAGGAAGGAAACUAACAUUUAUUGAGCUUUUCUGCCAGACAGCCCCUUAUUUCAGUCUCAUAAUCAUCCUUUGAGGCAGGUAUUGUCCACCCUCUCAAACAGAGAGGAAAUUGGGGUUCCAAAGGUCAGGGAGCAUGUCUAAGUUGAUGCAUUUCGGUAUAUGCAAGAAAUCUAUCUAAUAUCCACGCUUUUCCUAUUACACAAUGUUUCCCAAAAGUCCACAGCCUUUGGCACUUCAUGUCCUCUCUCAGACCCUCAGAUUUUUUAUCUGAAAUUUGUUUUGUUUUUUUUCAUUUCUUAAAGUUUUAUUGAAGUAUAGUUGAUUUACAAUGUUGUGAUAAUUCCGAUGUACAACAGUGAUUCUGUUGUACAUGUACACGCAUCCAUUCUUUUUUCCCAUAUAGACCAUCACAGAAUAUUGGGUAGGGUUCCCUGUGCUACACAGCAAGUCCCGGUUGGUCAAUCAUUCCAAAUACCACAGUGUACAUAUGCCAAUACUGGACCCCCCAGUCCAUCCCUUCCCCUCCACCUGUCCUCUUAGGUAACCAUAAAUCUGUUUUCAAAAUCUAUGAGUCUGUUUCUGUUCUGCAAAUUAGUUCAUUUGUAUCCUUUUUCAGAUUCCAUGGAUAAGAGCUAUCACAUGGUGUUUUUCUUUCACUGUCUGACUUCACUUAGUAUGAUAAUCUCUAGGUCCAUUCAUGUUGCUGCAUAUGACAUUAUUUUAUUCUUUUAAGGGCUGAGUAAUAUUCCAUUGUAGAUAUAUACCACAUCUUCUUUAUCCAUUCUUCUAUGGACAUUUAGACUGCUUCCAUGUCUUGGCUAUUGUAAACAGUGCUGCAAUGAACACUGGGGUGCAUGCAUCUUUAAUGUAUCAUAUGAAAUUUGGAUGCACCCAGAGUCAUCUAUCUUUUAACAUUCUCUAACUAAGAAUAAGGCAACUCUGGUGCAGACAUGGUGUUAUAAUUCAGAGACAACUUGGAGAGAUGAAGUUAGAAUAGAUCCUAUGACAAGUAAUAGAGUUAAAACUAUUUAUUUGAGAUACUGCAUAAAAUUUAAAUAACAGGAACAAAUUUGAAAGUAAAGCAUUCAUUGCUUAAUCAACUCUUUGAAACAGGCCAGGUCAUCAUGGACAAAUUUACUGCCUUAUAUAUUACUUGGACUGCAUGCCUUUCGGGGAGCCCAAAUCAAACCUCCUCAUCAGCAAAUAUCUCACUACCAUCUUCCAUCCUUUCUAACCAGCUACUCUGAUAACCAGAAGGGAAAGUUGUUGGUCUUCCUGACUUCCAGAUUUCAGAUAUGUUGACUCUUCUGUUUAUGUUCUUCCUCUCUCUUUCCAUGAAGUCAUGUCACUUCUUUCCCUCAAAGACCAGCUCCAGCCUCACCUUGUAAACUCUCCCCUUGACUAACUUAAAUAGGAUCCAAUUAUUUCAAUUAUUUCAGAUUUCUCUUGUCUCUUUGAUACAAAGGGAAGAGAAAAUGAGAUGCUUAAUUCUGUCUCAACCAUGUGCUAUUCUGCUACAGCCUCAAUUAACGUAAUCAUAUGAAGUCACAUUUAAUCCAGUCAAGCUAUUAUUAUUCCCAUCUCAUUGAUGACAAAACUGAAACCAGGCAAAAUUAAAGUGACUUGCCAAAGGUCACAAAUUUGGAAAAUCAGAAUUGACAACCAAAUUAAUUUGGAUCUAAAUCCCAAACCAAAGGGUUUCUGUCAAAGAACAGAGUGGAGUUGUAGAAAUGUGGAUCUUUGUUUAUUUCUCCCCUUCUCCUAAGUACUGUCAAACAACUCCAUUGUUUAUUCAUAUUUUUCUGUUUCUAAAAUGCUAGGUCUCCCCAAGGCCAGAAGCCUUGCCUUGCUAGAUGCCCAAGUGAUAUAAAAAUGAAAUGUAUUAUCCUCAAUAAAUUAAUUUUUAUUACUCAAAUGAAUUUAUCACAUCUGUAAUGAUCAUUACAAUCCAAUUUCAUAGGAUUUCCAUCCCACAACCUAAGCACAUCCCCCCACCCCCCAAACUGUAUCCUCCAGAGACCAUAAGUUUUUCAAUGUCUGUGAGUCAGCAUCUGCUCUGCAAAGAAGUUCAGUCUGUCCUGAACAUUAAUGUUGACCAAAGAUACUGGACAUAAAACCAAACACACUGUCCUCUCCUUGAAACUAAUCUCACUACAUCAGUACAUGAAACAUUGUGCAGCUCCAGUUGCCACAGCUCAACAGAGACUUAACAAGACUUGGAAAAAGUCCAGGGAUGAGCAAUUAAAACAUCCUAGGAGAUGGAAAAGGCUGUCUUAGAAGAACAAACUAAAAUCAAUCAAGACCCUUAAGUUUACCAAGAGAAAGACUGAGAACUGAUGGAUUCAGAGUCUGUAAAAUUAUCUGGGGAUAGAUGUAUAAGUAUGCACAUGCUCACUGUCAUUGAUACUCACUAUUUUGUGUCCAUCCAGCAUCCAUCUCCUUUUCCCAAUGGUAUCUGGAGUUCCUUAUGGGGAGCUUCUUAUCCUUCACCACUAGUGUAUGUAUUAUGAUGGAAGAGUAAUUCCAGGAACUUCCCUCCUACUUAGGAUCUGAGGGAAUGUGGCUGGCCUUUCUAUAUGCCUAACAAAGCCUUGGAGAAGUCACAUGAUCUAAUCUCACCCAAUCAGAAUCCCCCUUUCUCCAACUUUACUUUUUGGGAGACAGAGAAAUAAGAAGGCGGAGGAAGUAGUUAGGUUUAUCCAUUCAACCCUUCUUAAUUACAAAACUAUUCCCUUCUUCUGUAUCCUGGCCAUUAGGAAGCUUCAGGAUUCCAGUCAUUUUCUAUGUGAGUUUUUCCAUUUGAACAAGUGAGUCUAAGAGUUUGUGAUAGCUUUGCAGUAAGUCCCUUUUGUUUAAGUUAGAGUCCAUGUCAGACACUUCUAAGAAACAGAUAUACUCAUCAAAGCCCAGAUAUGGUACUCUAAGGCAACUUCUUUUUCAUAAAUAAUAGUAAGCCAGAAGUAGGUUAAAAACUAGAAGGGAAGGCAUGGAUGUAAGCCAGACACUGCACUGAGCCCUUUAUACCUACGAUUUCUUUUAUGUCUCAAAUUAUCCGUGUGGGGUGGGCAUGAGGAUCUCAAAUUCUAUAUUGAAACUGAGGUUCAGGAAGGUUGAGUCACUUACCCAGGAUAAGUGAGUGGUAAGAAAUGAAAGACGCUGGAAUAAAACACAGGUAUUUCGCUAGUCAAAUAACAAAGAGAUAUAAAUUGAAACAAGUGACAUUUGAACUGUUUGUUUAUAAUCUUAGUAGAUAUCAAGAGGGGAAACUUUCUUUCACAGCACUUUUGGAUAAAUUUGUCAGAUCCAAGGCCUCAGGAUGGAUAGACAGUGGAUGGACUAAAACAUGAUAAACCAUCAUUCUAGCUCAAGAGAAGAUAAUUCUUAUGAGCUUAGCUGUUAAAGCCCAAACAGUAACUGGUGCUAAUACAAAAAUAGAACAAAAUGCUAUAUCUGAAGUGUCCAUUUGAAGAUGUAACACAUAUUUACUUCAGAUUGCACAUGAAGUUUUUUGCACAUUAUAUUUAGAAGAGUGAAGAAAUUCAUAGUUACUCCACUACUUAAUGGCUUCAAACUUUCCAUCUCAACAAUUAGGACCUAAAGCAAAAAUCUGCAUGACUUAGAAAAUACACAAAUUCACUUCAAUCAAGACCUGCUCAUCAAUAGGACCGAUGACCUUCACUUUAGUAAAAUAUGUAUAUCAUAGUAAAAUAUGGAUAUCAUAAAUUAAGACAUCAUUUUGCAGAGAAAAUAAUACUCUUUGGGGGAUGGCAUGUGUUCCCCACCCCCCAGGGGUACUGACAUACAUCUUGAGAAAGUGAGGGUUUCUUCUUCACUGACUCAUUUGAAACAAUACACGUUAGCAUGCUGAGGAAAAUAAGACAAGAGAAGAGGCUAUAGGAAUGAUGGAGAAAAUUCGAGAUGUUAAGACCAACCUCUUCAUUUUGCAACAGUGAAAACUGAAGGCCAGGGAAGCUAAAUGACUCAGCCCAGCUCAGCAGUUCCUGGCCAACUUGGGGCUCCCACUCAAACCACUUGUGUAGGAUGGUGCCCCUGUUUCUAUACCACAUCGCCCACUCUCAAUCUGGAAAACAUACUGUGUGGGCCAACAAAUAAGGAAACAUUGAAAAUUAUUCCUUUAGGAUC